rnacentral:rRNA from 1 species
CCUACGGGUGGCAGCAGUGAGGAAUAUUGGUCAAUGGGCGGGAGCCUGAACCAGCCAAGCCGCGUGAGGGAAGAAGGUACAGCGUAUCGUAAACCUCUUUUGUCAGGGAACAAAGGCGGGGACUAGUCCCCGGAUCAGGGUACCUGAAGAAAAAGCAUCGGCAAACUCCGUGCCAGCAGCCGCGGUAAUACGGAGGAUGCGAGCGUUAUCCGGAUUUAUUGGGGUUAAAGGGUGCGCAGGCGGGCUGUUAAGCAGGCGGUAAAAAUUCAGGGCUCAACCCUGUCGAGCCGUCGGAACUGGCAGUCUUGAGUGGGCGAGGAGGAUGCGGAAUGCGUGGUGUAGCGGUGAAAUGCAUAGAAAACACGCAGAACGCCGAUUGCGAAGGCAGCAUACCGGCGCCCAACUGACGCUGAGGCACGAAAGCGUGGGGAUCGAACAGGAUUAGAUACCCCGGUAGUC